GUCCUAACCAUUGGACCACCAAGGAAGUCCUUCCAAUUCUGGUUACUGUUGAUCAAAUAUGCCCUGAAAACCCUGGGUCCUCCUGGUAAGCAUAGCUUGAAGCAUAGCUCCAGAGCUGCAUCCCUCCUCCUAGCUCCCACGAGGGAGAUGAAGUGUUUCUGUAGGCAGGCAGUCACCUCUUUCCCUGGGAGCUUCUCCCGCUCCUGCUCCUGUCUCCCACCUGAGCCCAGGCCAACUCCCACCCACCCCUCUCAGGUGGACUCAGCAUAGGAAGAUGAAGCCAGCUGCUGCCAAGUGAGAACUGUCAGUGCUGGGAACUGGUCUCCCACAGCCCCCUUCCUAAAGAGAAGCCCCAUCUCCCACCUGGGACCGCCCCAGUGCCAGCCAGGGAGGCGCUGUGGGCACUCGGUUGUUGGGGCAGAAACACUCACCUUGCCCAGAACAGUUGAUUCUAGAGACUGAGGGACACUGUUCUGACCUGGGACGGAUGUCCUGAAAGCACCUGAGCUUCCUCUGUGUCCUUGACAAAGAAUCUAGCAGCCAGCACUGGACAACAGCCGGCACCGGAGAACAGCCAGCAUCUUUCAUCACCCGGGAGGUGCCUGGACCAGCUCUGCCCUGGGCUCUACAGACACCCUUUCCUCCUGUCAGCAGUGUUCUUUACCGUGAGGUCAUGCCUUCUCACCUUGAGUGUGGAAAGAUCUAAAGGUCUAAUACAAGGAUGUGAGCCCAGGGCCACUCCAAAAAGGCCUCUGGGUACCCCCUGAGACCAGCCACAGGAGUUCCCUGCCCCAAACUGUCCAGACUAGCCCACCAAGCUGCCUCACAGAGGCCAAAAUCUUGAAGCAAUCAAUAGAAGGGUUUUCCCUAGAGCUGUGUUGUGCUCAGUCGCUUCAGUUGUGUCCGACUCUUUGUAAACCCAUGGACUGUAGCCCGCCAGGCUCCUCUGUCCAUGGCAUUCUCCAGGUAAGAAUACUGGAAUGUGUUGCCAUUUCCUUCUCCAAGAGAUCUUUCCUACCCAGGGAUUAAACCCACAUCUCCUGUGUCUCCUGCAUUGGCAGGUGGAUUCUUUACUUGCCUAGAGGAGCCUUGGUGCCUAUUUCCUUUGGGAGCUCAGCAGUUGAUCAGGACUAUAGGCACUCCGACCUGGCCACACACCAUGUGAUACAACCACUGGCAUUCAUAGGUAGAUAAGCAAAACAACACUGAGAUAAGUGAUACCACCCAUUCCUAGGUAUGGCCAGGUUUUCCCCAUAAAUCACGCUGCCUGAGGUGAGCCACCUUGUAUCCACAGAGAGACCACCUCUCUCUGCUUUCAAUACUUUGUCCUUGGUCAGUACUGGAGUCACCCUCAGAGUUGGGCCCAUGUGGAAAGCUGCUCAUCUUCCAGAAAAUCUCUGUUGACAACGUUGUCUACUAGGUAGCAGACUCAGGAAACCCUUUUCAGAAUCUGCUGUUGGGAAAACUCUUGGCUUCUCGAUGGAGUUUCUGGAGCACAGUGUGUCUCCACUCAUUCCAGCCGACAGGAAGCUCAGGUGCUGUCAGGACGUCUGUCCCAGUUCAUUUCCAGUGUCCUUCAUAAGAUUUUGGAUCUUUCUAUUUGACCGUUUAAAAUACAUUUGGUGUUUUUAAUAAAAAGCUUUCCUAAAUCUUGUAUGCAUGGAAGGAAUAGGCUGAGUAUAAUAAAGACAUUGGUUCAGUUUGUGAAUAAUUCACCUGCCCCUGGAGCUCCGUGGAGGCAGAGGGUACUGGAUGUGGGUGUGCCCAUGUGCUUUCCUGUGGGGAGGGCAUUGACUGCCCUUUGCCAUGCUCUUCAAACACCAAGCCUCCUCCUGAGCCCUGGGAUCCUACACCUGGGCAAACAGUGGCAUGGGAGUGUCUUUUGCAGUUUCACUCAUCCUCUUCAAAUUGAGGUUGAAAGAAAGCAACUCCCUGUGGGAACUGGAACACUCAAUAGUAUUCCCAAGGCCGAGACUUCAUUGCAGUGAGAUGUCAUGUCAUCAUUUCCCCACUUGCAAAGCCUGGAGACUUUCAGAGUUGAGGCUGGAGGCUGUUCUUGGGAG
ensembl:lncRNA